rnacentral:rRNA from 1 species
UACGAGCGGCCCAAACGUUAUUCGGAAUUACUGGGCUUAAAGAGCGCGCAGGCGGUCGUUCAAGUCGCGUGUGAAAGCCCCCGGCUCAACUGGGGAGGGUCACGCGAUACUGAUCGACUCGAAGGCAGGAGAGGGAAGUGGAAUUCCCGGUGUAGUGGUGAAAUGCGUAGAUAUCGGGAAGAACACCUAUGGCGAAGGCAGCUCUCUGGGACGGUACUGACGCUGAGACGCGAAAGCGUGGGGAGCGAACAGG